rnacentral:lncRNA from 1 species
GAAAGUCAAGAAGAUAGUUACAUGCCAUGAGCCUUAAGUAGUAAAUAAGGAAUGAGACUAGAGCUUUCCUACACUCAUUCUAGAUAUCUUUGGGUACGAGAUGUUUGGCUCGUUACUUAUCAUGUCCACCUUUACUCAUAGACUUUAGUGUGAUUCUUAUCAAAUAACUAUCAAGUCUACUCAUUCUCCAUCCUAAUCAUUUCAAUUCAAUCAUUCAAU